rnacentral:lncRNA from 1 species
CUGUUUUUCCUACACAGAUUACAGGAGUAAUUCAUCAGUGAAUGUUUCACUCAGUGGUCCCAUCUAAUCAAUGAAGAAGAGAAGUUCAAUUAUAUCACCAAAGAGAAAAAUCAAACAAGAUCAAUGAGAAGUAGACAAUGAUCUAGAGCUGAGAAUUUCUUUUAAGGAUUCCAUCUUUCUUGUUUCCAGAUUAGUAAAAACAAGGAACAAUGUGUUUCCUCUUCAUUUCCUUGUAAGAGAGUACUGAAGCCAAAGUGAAGUAUUAAAAAUAAGCAUGAAACAAUUAAAAAAUGCUUCCAAGGUAUGUUAGCUGCUUCCACAAUCCAUAUGAAUUCCUGCUUAAUUCCUUCACAGAACCAAUUUCCUAUGUGCAAGAGACUAGAGCUCUUUGGAGUUGUAAUCAAUCCAAGUCCUUGGUACCUUCUGAGUUACAAACCAUUCCCCAUCAAUGAGAGAAUGUCUGGGAUGCAUUGUGUGACAAUCUUCAAAUUAGCUACUUCAUACUCCAUCUUUGUUAGAUGCUAAACUAAACCUUCUUAUUUACUCAGUCCUCCAACCCCAAAACUGCUUGCUACUUGUUUUUACCAACCCAUGCCCCACUGUUCCCCACUUUCCUAAAUCUUUCUUCUGCGUUCUCUGGAACCCCAAUCUGAUUAAUCCUUACAUAUUCAGUCUCUCAAAACAAUUCAUCUUCUGCCUUAGUUAGAAAUCAGAAGUUCCAACAGGAGGUCUGUGAACUGUUUCAAGGACUCAGUGAAAUACUUUAAAAGAUUUAUUGUUUUCUUUUUGUUAUUUUUAAAUACGUCAUUCUAAACUAAAAAUUGUUACUAUAUUACAAGAAUAAUGCCUCACAUCAUGUGGCUGGCAAGAUGGCAGAAUAGGAACAGCUCCAGUCUG